CCCUCAUCAUGCUCUGUAGUUUAUAGUAAUACUUAAGAUAGCUAUCAUUUUUACCAGUCUGUAUGUACAGACGUCCCUACGGAUGGUUAACAUCCCACACAUUGUUGA